GCGCUUUAGUGUAUUGGUAGCACAGUAAGCUCAUGCCUUGCUAGACUAGAGUUCGAAUCCUAGAAUGCGCU
rnacentral:tRNA from 2 species